UUAAAUUUUAAUACAUAAAAAUAUAAAUGUGCACACACACACACUUUGAUGCAUUUUAAUACAGUUAGUAUUUGUUACUAAGCACAAUAUCAUUAUAAACACCAGCUUAUUUAUGUUU